rnacentral:misc_RNA from 1 species
UGUGGGAGCGGGCUUGCUCGCGAAUGCGGUGGGUCAGUUGAUACAACUUUGACUGAUCCUCCGCUAUCGCGGGCAAGCCCGCUCCCACA